GAUGAACGCUGGCGGCGUGCCUAAUACAUGCAAGUCGAGCGAACGGACGAGAAGCUUGCUUCUCUGAUGUUAGCGGCGGACGGGUGAGUAACACGUGGAUAACCUACCUAUAAGACUGGGAUAACUUCGGGAAACCGGAGCUAAUACCGGAUAAUAUUUUGAACCGCAUGGUUCAAAAGUGAAAGACGGUCUUGCUGUCACUUAUAGAUGGAUCCGCGCUGCAUUAGCUAGUUGGUAAGGUAACGGCUUACCAAGGCAACGAUGCAUAGCCGACCUGAGAGGGUGAUCGGCCACACUGGAACUGAGACACGGUCCAGACUCCUACGGGAGGCAGCAGUAGGGAAUCUUCCGCAAUGGGCGAAAGCCUGACGGAGCAACGCCGCGUGAGUGAUGAAGGUCUUCGGAUCGUAAAACUCUGUUGUUAGGGAAGAACAUAUGUGUAAGUAACUGUGCACAUCUUGACGGUACCUAAUCAGAAAGCCACGGCUAACUACGUG
rnacentral:rRNA from 1 species